rnacentral:rRNA from 1 species
CCUACGGGUGGCAGCAGUGAGGAAUAUUGGUCAAUGGGCGGAAGCCUGAACCAGCCAAGUAGCGUGCAGGAUGACGGCCCUACGGGUUGUAAACUGCUUUUAUACGGGAAUAACGCGCCUUACGUGUAGGGCUUUGCAUGUACCGUAUGAAUAAGGACCGGCUAAUUCCGUGCCAGCAGCCGCGGUAAUACGGAAGGUCCGGGCGUUAUCCGGAUUUAUUGGGUGUAAAGGGAGCGUAGGCCGCAUGUCAAGCGUGCUGUGAAAUGUCCGGGCUCAACCCGGGCAUUGCAGCGCGAACUGGCGUGCUUGAGUCCUCGGAAGGCAGGCAGAAUUCGACGUGUAGCGGUGAAAUGCUUAGAGAUGUCGAAGAAUCCCGAUUGCGAAGGCAGCUCGCUGCAGAAGAACUGACGCUCAUGUUCGAAAGCGCGGGUAUCGAACAGGAUUAGAUACCCCGGUAGUC